rnacentral:lncRNA from 1 species
CUUUAUUUACUUAUAUAAUAGAAGAUGUUAUUCAGGAUCCUUUAACUUAAUUUUACCUAUCAUGACACCCAGUUGCAACCCAAGACAACUGUACAAUAGUGACAAGUCUGGAACAUAAGAUGGUUCUUGGAUUGACAAUACAGUGAAGAAAAGAAUGCUGUUGCAGCUCUUUUAGCCCCAUAGGCUAAGGUAGUAUAUUUAACUUGCAUAGUCAUCUUUUAUUUAGUUGUAGUUUGUGUUUGCUCUUUAGAUUUGUUUUGAGAUAAUUGGAAUCAUUUCUGUGUUGGAUUUAUAUAUGUUUGAUUCUUAUGCAUGAUGAUGGUGAGUAGUUUAAUAAAGUUUUUAUGAAACUUUUGAUAUUUCGUUUUGAUUAUGGGUAAGCAAAAGCUUCCAGAGAUUUACAGGAACACAUUGGCUUUUAGUUUCAUGUUGGCUUCUAGAUUCAACUCUAGAUAAGUCAAUGAUAUUGUUUCAUAACAACAUGAUUUCUUCAUACUUCAAGAUGGAAGAUGGAUUAAAACUGAUUUUUUUUUUUUUUUUUUUGACGUUAAUGUUACAUUUUGAUUUUUACAAAGUUUUUUUUUUUGUUAUAAAUUGGUAAACAUCAGUGUAAUUCAUUGCUUAAUUUUUGUUUUUCUGUAAUGAAUAUAUCACCUUUUAAAUAAGAAGACCUAUGCCUUUACCUGAAAUGAAGCCUCCAGGUUCCAUUCUUCUGAACGUAUAUAAUUUUUUAAGCUAACUCAAUGGGCUGACCUGACUCUCUUUCUAAAGAGGAGUUAGUCAUCACUUUAUGAAUCAGAAGAAGUUUGGAUUUUAUGUGCUUCAACUUACUAAUAUUUGUGGGUAAAUAUAUUUUGUUUCUCACAUGACUAUGCAAUAGAGAAAUAAUUUUCAGGAAAAAAAAGGACAAGCUGGAGAUGGGAAAAAGUCGUUAUGUUCAGAUGUCCUAUUAUGCUUCUUUUAUAUGAGUUCAUGCCAGGCUGAACAAUGUAUAUGACAGGGUGCAGUUCAGCAAAUUCUGCAGGGUACCCUGUCAUACACAUAAGCAAGGGAAGGAAGUAAGACUACAAAGGAUCAGCACCACGACAGGAAUGUAGUCAGCAGCAAAAUAGGGACUGUCCUGGAGCCACAGAUGAUCAUUAAUGACUCAUACAUUAUUAUGUACUCACUAUUUUUGAGUUUGUUUAACUUUUUGGGUGAACUAGACACAUUCGAACUGAGAAACAUGUAGUCUUUAUAAGUCGGUUACAAAUAUAAUUGUCUAUUUUGUACAGUAUAUUGCAUCAUUAAGCCUAUAUUUUUAUUUUAUCAGUUAAACAUUAAAUUGAAUGUUGCAUUACUUGAUAGCCCAUUCAUCAUUGUUUUUUUUUGGGUGUCACUUCCAUGACUUUUAAUUCGGCUUCAGAGAAUCUUAAAUGACAUUGGCCUACUAUGUUAGUGAAUUGAAUAUUAGCAUUGAACACUAUAGAAUGACUACCGGGCUGAGAACAAUCUUGGCUGCCAGUUUCGUUCUUUACUAAAGCUAUUUUUAGUUUUUAUUAGUAUGACAAAUUUUAAGUUAAAUUUAAAUAAAAACUCCAUUAAGUAAACAAAGAAUUUACGAAAGCUAUUGUUGCCUGAACAAUGUGAUGGUAUCCAAUUUAAACAUUCUUUUCGUACUAACGCGGCCCCAAAUUUUCCUUCCAAGUAAAAUCAUUGUCCAUCUCUUUUUUCUCUCCUCUAAUGAUGCAUUAUCUUACUAGCACAGUCCGGGCGUAGCCCGGGCCUUACCUACUAGUAUACUAUAAAGGCUGAGCAGAUUAAAGCCCGGUGAGGUUAUCCACGUGUCUCUCUCUUCGUUCAGGAUUUAAGAAUUCUUCUUCAUGCAAUCUCUAAGCUGGUGUUAGUUUGGUAAUUCUGAAGGCAUCCAAAGGAUAAAACAGUCAACCAAAGAAGUUCAGCAGAUCAAAGCAGCCAUUCCUGACUCGUCCCUCUCACCCAUAAUCCCUGAUCUAUUACCAUUUACCACAUCCAUUCUUAACCAUUUAUUACCACAUUUUCUCCUCUUAUAAUGCAUUUUCGUAGUAACAUAGUAUAUAUAUAGUUUCAUAGUUUAUAGACCUAACAGUUAUUCAAAUUAGCUCCAAUAUCUCACCUACACUGUUUUAAUUAAAAUACCGCUAAGCAUACAAUAUCAUGACAGAUUUUGCAAUGGAGUAUCUCUACUAUUAUAUAAAGGCUGAGCGGAUUAGAGCCCUGUGAGGCUAUCUACGUGGCUCUCUCUUCGUUCAGGAUUCAGGAAUUUUGCUUCAACCAUUUAUAGGUUGUGUCAGUUUUGUAAUUUCGAAAGCAUCCAAAGGACAAAAUAGUUAAUAUUCACAAUUAAGUCUACGUCGACACCAGAGCUUCAAUUACGCCAGCCACGUUUAAUAUUCACAAUUAAGUCUGCGUCAACACCACAACUAUAAAUUCAUCUCUUACACAUGCUCUUUCCCUCACUCCCCAGUUCCCACUACUCUCCGAUCUCUUCCCUCAAGGUAAGCUAUUUUUUUAUUUUAAAUAACAUCUUUUCCUAUUCAAUUAUCAAUCGAUAUAUCUAAUUAUAGUGUAUUUUGUUGAAUUAAAAUCGAUCCAUCGAUCAAUUAAUCUGAUGUAGAAAACUGUCACGAUCAUAAUUUCCAAAUAUUGGCAACAAGAAGGAAUUUAUGAUCGUGACAGUUUUCUUGGUAUCAGAGCCAUUUCUAGGCGUUCAUCAAUAUAACUUUCCAGGUUACUUUAAACAUAAUUAAUCAAGUCACAUGCCAUUAUAUACUAAUCCACUUCAAUAUUAAGAAUACUUUUAGUACAUGACUAUUUCAACUUGACAAUCAAACAAACGGACAAAUCCAAAAGAAAACAUAUAUGCUAAAAAGAAACUCUUUACAUAAAUCUGCCAAACAAUAACAUUCAUCUUUCAAAAUUCACACAUCUACAAAUAAUUACUCAAAUCUCAUAAAUUUUUAAUACAACCUUUUAAUAUGAACAUAUUACUUGGAAUAAAAAUAUGGAAUCGUUUCGAUAUAUAAAAAAAAUAAUUAAACAAUUGUUUUACUCCAUCCGACCAGAUUUCAGAAAGAAAUCCCAAAACAAUCUACGUCAGACUUCCUGAGCAUUUUUCACCAUAUUAGCCUCAUAAUUUAAAGUAUUUCUAAACAUAGAAAUUAUAGUUCAUAAUGUCUAUUUUCUAAAACAAGUAAAUUCAUCAAGAUAUGUUGAGUAACGAGUCUUCUAUGAUUUUUCUAUGAUAUCCACGCAAACAGAAAGGUAGCAGUAAAAUUAUACUGGAUAUCUGAAUAUAACUACGUUGAAUAAAUUAUUCAGAAUUAAUUACCUAACAGUAAAUUCCGAAAUUUAUAUAUGGUGUUAUAUCUUGAGUAUUCUAACUACCAUAAAAUUUUCAAUAAAUAUUAUUAAGUCUAGAAGAAUCAAAACCUUGCGAUACUAAAACGGUACAGAAACCAAAAACUGCAACGGUUAUCAUACUUGCAAGUCGUUUUCCACCAAAAUAAAAUAACUUUCGUAAAUUGGUCUUAACUAAUCGAAUGAAGACAUUCCAAUAUAGUGUUCAGGGUUUUUGGAAUCAAAUUAAAAGCUUUUCAAACGAAUUUUCUAUGAUUUUUCAAAGAUGAGUAAAAAAAUCUGAAAUCACAGAAACAAAAAUAGAAACAAAAUCGUCUACUCACAGUUAUACCCCACGUCUAAAAUCAAAACCAACAGCAAACAUAUCCCAUAUACCCCACCACUAAAGUCAAACUCAUAUAGUUUAAUUAAAUUAAACUAAUUUAACAAAAUAACAUCCACUCACCUGCUGUAAGUACACAUCAUGAAACGCUAUAGUCUCCAAAGAUUUCCACUCCUCCAUCAUCAUCAUAGCAACGGUGGCAUGUUUCCUACUCAAAGCAUCUGCAACUACAUUACCCUUCCCAGGCUGAUACUGAAUCUGAAAAUCAUAAUUGCUAAUGAACUCCAUCCAUCUCUGCUGCCUCAUGUUCAAAUCCUUCUGAGAGAACAAUUACUUUAGGCUCUUGUGGUCGGUAUAAAGAUCAAACUUCUCCCUAUAUAAAUAGUGACGCCAAAUCUUCAAAGCAAACACCACAGCUGCCAAUUCUAAAUCGUGUAUUGGAUAUCUUCGCUCAUGUUGCUUCAACUGUCUAGAAGCAUAAGAGACCACUCUCCCAUCCUGCAUCAAAACACAACCAAGUCAUGUACCACUAGCAUCUGUGAAUACCACAAGCUUGCCUCCUCUAACCGGUAUAACUAACACUGGCGCUGUAGUUAACCUCUGCUUAAGCUCCUGGAAAGCUCUCUCGCAAUCGUCAGUCCACAAGAACUUCACAUUCUUCCUCGUAAGUCUGGUCAAUGGCUCAGCUAUAAGCGAGAACUUCUCAAUGAAACGACGGUAAUAUCCAGCUAAUCCCAAAAAGCUUCGAAUCUCUGUAGGGUUGGUUGGUUGUUUCCAAUCCCUAACUGCAGUAACCUUCUCAGGGUCAACGGCAAUGCCCUCUCUGGAUAUCACGUGACCUAAGAAAUGCACCUCAUUCUUCCAGAAAUGACAUUUGCUAAACUUAGCAUAUAGUUUGUGAUCUCUCAAUAUCUGCAACACUGUCUUCAAAUGUUUCGCAUGCUCCUGAGCAUCCUUAGAAUACACCAAAAUAUCAUCAAUGAAUACGAUCACAAACUUAUCAAGAUAAGGCCUGAAAAUCCGGUUCAUCAAAUCCAUGAAAAAUGCUGGAGCAUUAGUUAACCCAAAAGGCAUUACUGGAAACUCCUACAAUCCAUAUCGUGUUUUGAAAGCAGUCAGUGGUAUAGUCUUCUCCUCUACACCCAUCUGAUGGUAACCCGUCCUCAAAUCAAACUGAGAAAACACGGCUGCUCCUUUCAACUGAUCAAGCAAAUCAUCUAUUCUCGGCAGUGGAUAUUUGUUCUUGACCGUCACCUUAUUCAACUCACGGUAAUCAAUGCACAUCCUUAAAGUUCCAUCCUUCUUAGAGACAAAGAUAGCUGGAGCUCCCCAUGGAGAAUUGCUUGGACGUAUGAACCUGUGGUUCAUACACACCUCAAAAGGCUCACACAUAUACACCAAAAGAAUAAACUACAUCAAAUAUCACAUACCCUUUCUUAAGGAACUCCUCCAACUGGGUCUUCAUCUUUUCCAACUGCUUAGGCGCCAUCCUGUAUGCAGUCUUAGAAAUAGGUGCCGUUCCUGGCAACAAAUCAAUACGGAACUCCACCUCUCUCUUGGGUGGUAAACCCGGAAUCUCCUCAAACACAUCUAGAUAAUCCUUAACUAUCGCCACAUCACUAAUAUCGAUCGACUGGACAUCCAUAGACAUCAAAAAGCUGGACAUAAUCGAAUCAUCCCUACUAACACAAUUGUGUACCAAUGUGGGUAAACCAGCUGGUGUAUCCACUAUAACUCUCCUUCCAGCACAAUCCAAAAUAACAUGAUAGCGACUCAACCAAUCAAAACCCAAAAUAAACUGAUAGCCCUCAAAAUCUAAAACAACCAGAUCGAUAACAAACUGUCUACCCAUGAAUAUCAGAACAAAGUUCUUACACUGGUAAAACAAACAAGUCGACCCUCCCAUAGGUGUCCGAAGAUAUAAAGGUUGGGGUAAAGGUGUAGUCGCAAUCUGAUACUUAUCUACUAAUUGCUUAGCAAUAAAUGAAUGUGAUACACCAGAAUCAAAUAACACUCGGAAUCUAAAUUGAGAACAAUCAAAAGUACCUUCCAAUCCCUGAACUGCAGGCAAAACAGCAAAGGCUCUCCCUCGGUUCGGCUGAUGUGCUGGCCUUCCCUGGUUGUUGUUCACUGGUCGACGACACUCAGCAGAACGAUGUCCUGGUCCUCCACAGUUCCAACAGCUACCCCUGAUCGGCCCUGCUAAUGCUCCUGGCGCUGGUAACUGUAAAGGUGCUGGCCUAUAAGGCAAACCUGGGGCAGGUUGCCCUGGUGCUGGUGGUGGUGGUGGCGCUCUUGCUCUCGCUCGGUUGUCACCACGCCCAUACCCACCACGGUGUCUGAAACCCUGGUUAUCUCCCGGUGGCCUGUUGUAACCCUGGUUCCUCUCUGGGUUGUUGUCAUAACGUCGACCCCUGAAGUUAGGAUCAUAAGGCUUGUGUCUAUUCCUGUCUCUGAAGUUAUCACCUGUCUUUUUGCUCUUCUCGGUUCUAAACUCCUGUUCCUUCUCCUCAUACUUCAUUGCGAGGUUCAGAACUCUAUCAAAUGGCUCGUGCUCAAAUGGAAUCAGUUGCUUUGAUACCAAGAAAACUGUCACGACCCUAAUAUCCAUAAAUUGGCAAAAAGAGAGAAUUUACGAAAUUACCCUCAAUAAGCCAAUAAAAGGAAAAAGGAUUGGGACAGUGAUCUAAAUAAACAUUUGCACAAGGUAAAAAUCCAUUAAAGACAAAUACUUCCAUAGACAAAUUGAACUCCAAUAAGUUUCCAUAAAUAAUCUGAAAAACUCCAAAUACUGAAUUACACAACUCCAAUAAUAAAAUUCAACAGUUUCUACUGAGGUAUUGUCUUCCCCAUCAAUAAUAAUCCAAUAAAUGAAAUAAUGAACUUGAGUAAUCAACUGACAACGAAUCAAAGAACUAAACCUACUGUGAAAGAUAACUCCUGCAAAUCUCAAACUCCCUCCCGAACAACUGGAUCUACACGAGCCUCCGGGUGUUGCUCCUGAGCGUACUCAACCGGCUCCUCUCUUCCGCCUACGCUCCAUAAGGAUACGUACCCACGUGCAAAACAAGCAACAUGGGUCAGCAAAUUAUGCUGGUAUGAGUGGACAAGGUUAGGGAACUCCAUUCCCAAAAACAAUAAAAUAACAGACUCCGCGGUCUUUCUAUAUUUAUCUCGUUUACUAAAUAAAUAUCAUAUAUUAUAGUGAUACAUUACCUGAGCUGCACCUCCUAUUAGGAUAGGUCGAGCCCUGCAAGAAAUGUUAAUUGACCUAUCCUCCUGCAAAACUGUGUUAGUACAACAAGAUAUAAUUCAUGGCAUCUCAAGUCUCGACACUAUAUCUCAAUCACUGCAAAUCAAUCAUUACACUCAAACAACACUUCACAACCUAUACCCAAUCACUAGUACACCUCCCACAGGAUGCACUCCACACAUUUGCCAUACCCACACUGCACCAGUGUGCCUUGACUAUGGUUAAGACCCUCUACGCGGAAACCAAAACCCAAGUGGGUGCUCACCUGCAAGCUUUGGCUAGCCUCGACGUAUGCCUAACUCAUGGCCUCUACUAGCUCCCUUGAGCUUUCUAAUGUGGCGCCCAGACCAACCCCGAAGGCUAUGAAGGUCUGUAGGGUCAGUUCCGCAGGCUAAGCCGUCUAGGAAAUACCCAACAAAAAUAUAUUCCAAAUGUCAACCCGCAGGCUAAGCCAUCUAGGGUGAUAUCUAAUUUCUUAAUCCUAAUUCCACAAGUGCGACAAAUGUACUAAUGGUUGGGCGACUACCAAACAUCCAAACUAUCAAUCAAUCAAGUAACUCUCGACAAUAAAAUUUCACAUCAACUUCACAUCAAAUUCAUUUGCAUUCCUUCCGUAUUUUCUACAUUAAUCAAAUACCGUCCAUGGUAUAUAUAGCCAUUCCAAGGCAUUCAACAAUAAAUUCCUCGAAUUUAAUAUUAACACAUUUUAUAUUUCUUUCAAAAUAAAAAUACUAUCUACUAUACAGUCAGAAACAAAAUACAUUCAGCAAAUAAUAUUUACUGUACCCAUAAAACUAUAUAACUUUCUUUAACCCCAGUUUCAUUAAAAUUAUAUUUUUCGGUGUAUAUAUUUCUAGUCCACAUAUAUAUGAAUACUAAUCCAAAAGCGAUCUCAAAAACUCGACAAUUUGGAUACAUGUACAGUACUACCAUUUACCUUCUAUUAUAAUUUCCAUGUUAUCAACAGUGUACUCAAACCAUACAAAUCAAAUAAAUAAUAAUAAAAUUCUAAUUAACCCCACCUAACCAGCAGAUGCAUUCAAAACCAUUUCUUCCUACUAACCAAACUAUCACAGCACUUAUAAGCUAUAUAUAUAGAUUACUCAAUCAACCAUUACUUUCACCAAACAUAACUAUAUAUGCAUAUAAAUAUAUAUAGACCCACUCACAGUUAUACCCACGUCUAAAAUCCAAAAACCAACAGCAAACAUAUCCAUGUUAUCAACAGUGUAUACAUUAAAAUAAGAAUAUCAUCUACUUAAAAGUAUAUCCACUCACCUGCUACACUGUUGAUCUUCUUCUUCCUCUUUUAUUAUUAUUUUUUUUUUUCUGCUCUGCAACACCGUCACAAUUUGCCGACACCAACACUGCUUCUAAACUCAGCAGCACCGCCACUCUCUCUCUCUCUCUCUCUCUCUCUCUCUCUCUCUCUCUCUCUCUCUCUCUCUCUCUCUCUCUCUCGUUGUUGAUCGCAAAACUUUCUCUACUUCGAUCACAGCGCCGCUUUCUCUCUCUCUUAGUGUGCGAACAAAACCCUCGAUAGUUGCUACCCAUCUCUAUAUAAUAGUGAGUAAGUAUUGGUGUUAGUCCCACAUUGCUAAGGAAGUGGUUGUAUUGGUAGUAUAUAGAGCUUAACCAUACUCUAACUAAUGUCAAGGCCUUUUGGGGUAAACCACAUGGGUGGGCCCUGAUCCAAAACCCUCUACUGCUGGAUAUCCGCAGUGACUAAAGGGGGACAAUAUUGACAUUAGCGAGCGGUAUGGUGCUCGACGCACCGGGAUGAGCGAGGACGAAAUCCUGGGGCGUUACAGUUGGUAUCAGAGCCGACGACGGGUCGCCUGUUGCAGGUGGGAAGUACGUUGGAAAGGCCUAGGGAGCGCCAGGUACUUGUCUCACUUGGCAGGGAACGUCGGAGAUUUUGGGACUGUACUGAGUGUACUGCAGAGCCGAGGACGGCUCUAUUUCUAAGGUGGUGAGAUUGUAACACCCAUGAGUUGGUGUUAGUCCCACAUUGCUAAGGAAGUGGUUGUAUUGGUAGUAUAUAGAGCUUAACCAUACUCUAACUAAUGUCAAGGCCUUUUGGGGUAAACCACAUGGGUGGGCCCUGAUCCAAAACCCUCUACUGCUGGAUAUCCGCAGUGACUAAAGGGGGACAAUAUUGACAUUAGCGAGCGGUAUGGUGCUCGACGCACCGGGAUGAGCGAGGACGAAAUCCUGGGGCGUUACGUUGUUGUUGUUUUGUUGUUAUUGUUUUUUUCUUAUUAGAUUGAAGAAGAUGGGAAGGAGUUGUCCAACAGUGACAAAGGGAUCACAAAAAAAAAAAAACACACGAGAGAAUCACUAAUCCAUAAUUUGUUUUUUUUAAGAGAAAGAGAUUCUUUCAAUCAAUGGAAGCCCCCCUGGUGAGUUAAAUUUUUUUGAGGUCGUAUUUACAGAUAAUUUUUAUUUUGUAAAGUGAUACUAUUGGAUUUUUCGUUGGAUUAUUUCCUUAAUUUUGCAUCAAUUGACUUGCAUCAACACUCAACGAGGAAGAGAAAAAUUGAUGUUCCAUAUCUCUUUAGCCCCAGAAGCUAAGGUAGUAUAUCUGACUUAUUUAUCAAUUUUGUGUUGGAUUUAUAUACGCUUGAUUCUUAUGCUUGAUGAUGGUGAGGAGUUUAAUUAAGUUUUAUGAAACUUUUGAUAUUUUGUCUUGAUUAUAUAGGUGAAAGCAAAGGGUUCCAUAGAUUUACAAGUACAGUUUGGGUGAUUGCUUUUAGUUUGAUGAUGGGUUCAAUUCGUGUUGGCUUUAAGUUUCAACUCUAGGUAAGUGUUAGUAGACCUAUAACCUUAAUUGGCCAAUAACAAUAUUUCAUAACAACAUGAUUUCUACAUAUUUUAAGAUGGAAGAUGGAUUAAUAUUGAAUUAUUUUCUUUUGAUAUUAAUGUUACAUUUGGAUUUUAUUUAAGUUUUUGUUUUUUGUUUGAAUCAGUGUAAUCCAUUACUUAUUUUUAGUCUUUGUGUAAUGAAUAUAUCACCUUUUAAAUAAGAAGGCUUCUACCUCUACGAUGAGUCAAUGAGACGUCCAGGUUCCAUUCUUACGAACGUAUAUCUUUUUUUAACCUAGCUCAACGGGCUGACCUGACCCUCUUUUUUAAGUGCAGUUAGUCAUCAUUCUACGAAACAUCAAAAAAAGUUUUGAUUUUAUUUGCUUCAACUUGCUAAUGUUAAUUUGUAAGUAAAUAUAUUUUGUUUUUCCCAGGACUAUGCAAUAGAGAGACACUUUCGAGGAAAAAAAAUAUAAGCUGGAGAUGGAAAGAAAUUACGUUAUGUGUAAUCCAUUGUUUACAUUUUGAUUUUACUGAAGUUUUUGUUAUUUGUUAUAAAUCGAUAAAAAUUAGUGUAAUAUAUUGCUUACUUUUUGUCUUUUUGUAUCACCUUUUAAUAAGAAGGCUUCUACCUCUACUUGAAUUGAGGCCUCCGAGUUCCAUUCUUAUAAACAUAAAACAUAUAUAUGUUCUGACCUUGACCCUCUUUCUAAAGUUAGUCCUCAUCCUAUGAGGCAUCAAAAGAGGUUUGUGGGUAAAUAUAUAUAUAUAUUUUUUUUGCAGGACUAUGCAAUAGAGAAACACUUUUGAGGGAAAAAAAAAGAUAAGCUGGAGUUGGAAAUAAGUUGCAGAGUGUUCAGAUGUUCUACUAUGCUUCCUUCUAUGUGAGUUCAUGCCAGUCUCAACAGGCUAUAUGACAGAUCGCAGUUCAACAAAUUUCGCAAGGUACAACACACGAGUAAGGGGAGGGAGUAAGACUACAAAUGAUCAGCACCCCGACAAGAAUGAAGUCUGCAGCGGGUUAGGGACUGUGGAAGAGCCACAUAUGAUCAUUACUGACUCAUACAGUUAUACAUUAGGGACUGUAUAAGAGCCACAUGAUCAUUACUGAUCAUAAAGUUAUACAUUAUCAUGUACUCGCUAUUUUUGAGUUUGUUUUAACUUUUUAGGUGAACAUCUAACACAUUGGAAAUGAGAAACAUGUAGUCGAUGUAAGUCAGUUGCAGAUUAUAUGUACUGAUGCAUAUGCAUAAAGAUAGCAUGUGCAAGGCACAUGCCUCAUAGUUCCUGCAGAUUUCUAUAUGGAUUAGAACAUCCCUAGUAGUAGUUUCUAUUUACUUAGCUUUCUAGUUUAGUUAGGAUUAA